ACGGGAGGCAGCAGUGGGGAAUAUUGGACAAUGGGGGAAACCCUGAUCCAGCGACGCCGCGUGAGUGAAGAAGUAUUUCGGUAUGUAAAGCUCUAUCAGCAGGGAAGAUAAUGACGGUACCUGACUAAGAAGCCCCGGCUAACUACGUGCCAGCAGCCGCGGUAGUACGUAGGGGGCAAGCGUUAUCCGGAUUUACUGGGUGUAAAGGGAGCGUAGACGGCUGUGCAAGUCUGAAGUGAAAUCCGCGGGCUCAACCCGUGAACUGCUUUGGAAACUGUAUAGCUAGAGUGCAGGAGAGGUAAGUGGAAUUCCUAGUGUAGCGGUGAAAUGCGUAGAUAUUAGGAGGAACACCAGUGGCGAAGGCGGCUUACUGGACUGUAACUGACGUUGAGGCUCGAAAGCGUGGGGAGCAAACAGGAUUAGAUACCCUGGUA
rnacentral:rRNA from 1 species